CUCCAAAGAUCUAUAGCUUGUGGAUGCGGCGGAUGUGGCACAGGGAGCAGAUGAAUUGGGAAUAAGAGGACCCCCGGCGCGCGCACAAAUUGUUUCUACCUGACGGCUGAUAGUGAGGAUGCCUCUGACCUGUCCCGAGAAGGUUCGAGCCGAAGUACGACUUGUACAACGCAUCACCAAUUCGUCCGACAGUGUAAAAUGCGUUUGUGUUAGCUGAGUGAAAAUUAGAGAUCAGCCUGGUGGUACUUUAUUAUUUUAUUCUAUAGCUUGAUCUGCCAAAUGCUAUUAAGGAAAUGAAGUUUCUUCCUCGAUCAAGUUAUCAAUCCUUAUUGGGUGUAUGCUUCCUACUCAACACCUGAAUAAUCAAUUUGUACAUGCUCAUAUAUAUUAAUAUGCUAUUUUGUUGGU